rnacentral:tRNA from 1 species
GCGGGCGUGGCGGAAUGGUAGACGCAUGGGACUUAAAAUCCCUGGGGCGAAAGCCCGUGCCGGUUCAAGUCCGGCCGCCCGUACCA